UCCAACUUCAGUACAGCUUCCUCUCUCUGGUGUUCAACCAGCGGGAAGCAUCCCCCUGGAUCUAUCUACAAGAUAGCUGUCAUGGCAAAGUGUGUCACCUUCUUCGUCAUAGCUGUUCUGCUCUCUUUCUCACUUGGCCGAGCAGCUCGACAUGAGCCAGUGGAUCCCAGAAACACCCAACAAGAGGGUGCAGAAGCAGACGGUUUUGAAAGGGUGGACGAAGGAUGUGGAGCAGCUAACGAGGAGGAGUGCUUGAUGAGAAGAACGCUUGUAGCUCACACAGACUACAUAUAUACCCAAGGGAACAGACACUGAUAAGAGCAGGAGCACACUCUCUUCUUCCUUCGUUUCUUCUCUCGAGAAUGCGAGGUGGAAGGAAGAAUUCUUCCGAAAUAAAAUGAAAAAGGAAAUUUGUCGAGCAAUCUCUUCUUCUUCAA